rnacentral:lncRNA from 1 species
CCCUGCUGGCCAGGAGAGCCCAGAGGGAUGCUCCUCCUCCAAAGAAGCUCCCCAAACCCCCUGUGGACCCCCGGCCCAAACUGCUGCCCUCCCUGGGCCAGGGCAACGUGUCCCUUGUCAGUGCCAACGCCUGGGAUGAAAGGACCAAGAAGAAGAGAAAGAAAGGAGUCAGAGUCCAGAGGUCUAGCCUGGGCGUGAGACAUAUCCCCCGUGACCUAGAGCUGGCCAUGAUGAGGCCCCGUCUGGUCAAGUCGGCCGAUCCCUCCCAGCGUCCCUACCAGCCGUGGGACGACGAGGACGAGGUGGACAUCUACGCCCUGAGGCGCACAGCCUUCAUGUGCCCCAUGUACGACCAGGAGGAGAGCAGCGGCAGGGGCAACAAGAGGGUGGCAGUGGAGGCCCUGGACAACAUUCCUUUCAGAAGGAAGAUCACCUUGUGUUAUUUCAUGGGGGGGCGCAGGGUCAUGCUGCCAAAAGACUACUAACCCCACCCCCCUCAAUUUACACAACACCCCCUUAGUCCCAGACAGAGAAGAACAGGACACACACAGAGAGACAGAGUGGACACCAACAGGGCCAUCAGAGGGACAGAGAUCCUCUCAGUUGAUGUUAGGAAUGUCAGCUACGAAAAGCUUCAAUAGACCAUCUCUGUAGCAAGAGAACCUCCAGUAAUCAGACUGGGCUGUCCUCUGUCUCCCCUCAUCUCUGAUACACCAGACUGGGCUGUCCUCUGUCUCCCCUCAUCUCUGAUACAUCAGACUGGGCUGUCCUCUGUCUCCCCUCAUCUCUGAUACACCAGACUGGGCUGUCCUCUGUCUCCCCUCAUCUCUGAUACACCAGACUGGGCUGUCCUCUGUCUCCCCUCAUCUCUGAUACAUCAGACUGGGCUGUCCUCUGUCUCCCCUCACCUGUACUCCCCCAAGAGGAACACUGCUCCCUGCCUCCCCUCCCCUUCUCCUCUACUCCCCCAAGAGGACUACAGUCUCUCUCUUAUCUCUAAAUCAGUGUUGGGGUCAAUUCAAUGUCAAUACUGUCAAUUCAGGAAGUAAACUGACAUUUUCUCAUAGAGGCAUUGAGGAAAAUUGGAAUUGGACUUUCAGUUUACUUCCUGAUUUGUAAAGGAAUUGACCCCAACCCUAAUCUAAAUAAUCUACUAGAUCUCUAUGAUGACAGUGUCUCAGACAGAAAGACAAUAAUCCUGUUACUGUCCAGGACCUUGUCUUUACAUUUCCCUGAAGCAUUACAGAAAUAAAAACAAAGCAUUGAAGGAAA